rnacentral:tRNA from 1 species
GGGUACAGCUCAGUGGUAGAGCGUGCGCUCACCAUGCACGAGGUCCUGGGUUCAAUCCCCAGUGCCUCCA